UACGUAGGGGGCAAGCGUUGUCCGGAAUCAUGGGGCGUAAAGAGCGUGUAGGCGGCUCGGUAAGUCCGCUCUGAAAGCCCGGGGCUCAACCCCGGGAGGCGGGCGGAUACUGUCGGGCUAGAGUCCGGAAGAGGCGAGUGGAAUUCCUGGUGUAGCGGUGAAAUGCGCAGAUAUCAGGAGGAACACCAAUGGCGAAGGCAGCUCGCUGGGACGGUACUGACGCUGAGACGCGAAAGCGUGGGGAGCAAACAGG
rnacentral:rRNA from 1 species